rnacentral:rRNA from 1 species
GAUGAACGCUGGCGGCGUGCUUAACACAUGCAAGUCGAACGGAAAGGCCCUGCUUUUGGGGGGUUCGCGAGUGGCGAACGGGUGAGUAACACGUGAGUAACCUGCCCCUGACUUGGGGAUAACUUCAGGUAACUGCGGCUAAUACCGGAUAGGAGCUCCUGCUGCACGGUGGGGGGUGGCAAGUUUCGGCGGUUGGGGAGGGACUCGCGGCUUAUCAGCUUGUUGGUGGGGUAGUGGCUUACCAAGGCUUUGACGGGUAGGCGACAUGGGAGGGUGACCAGGGUCAUGACGACUACGGGACGGAGCAGAGGGGAAUGGGAGGCAACGGUGGGGAACAUUGCGCAGUGAGGGGGAGCGUGAUACAAAGGCGCUGCGUGUGGAAAGACGGCCUUGGGGUUAUGAACCGAUUUCGGCUGUUACGUAGCGUGAGUGACGGUAAUGGGUAAAGAAGCACCGGCUAACUACGUG